CCCUCCCUCCCUCUCCUCUUCCUCUCCCUCCUCCACAUCCUCCUCCUCCCUCAUCUCCACCUCCUCAUCCUCUUCACCUCCUCCUCCUCUUCACAUCUACCUCUUCACCUCCACCUCUUCCUUUUACCUCCUCCUCUUCCUCUUCCUCCACCUUCCUCUCCAACUCCUCCACCUCUUCCUCCUCCUCCCUCUCGUACUCAUCCUCCAUUUUGUACUGCAUGGUUAUAUGUUACAGUGUCUAUGUCCCUACUAUGACUGUGUUACUCACUAUAUAUGAACAUCAUGUGUACAUACGUAUUGCCUUGGCUGCUAUAGAGAGAUAUAUUUGAUUCCAAAGCCAGAUAUUGUGAUGUAGAGUGCAUUACAUACAUAUUUUUUCAUUGUUUAGAUAGUUUAUCCAUAAAGUAAAAUUGUACAAUAUUGAUAGAACUUCUAAGAAUAAUUCAUAUGCAAAACAAGUAAGCUAUAUUUCAUACAUUCAAGUCUGGGAUAAAAUGUGGUAAAAAGAAAGAAAGUGGAAUAGCUUCCUUAUAGUUUACCUGAGAAUAUAUUUUAUUUUAGUGUUGUAGUUGAAUAGGCUCGGUGCUGCUUUCAACGCAUACAGAGCGGUGGGUGGUAGUGGUGGUAGUAGCAGUUGUAGUAGUAGUAGUAGUAGCGGUAGUAGUAGUAGUAGUGGUAGUAGUAGUAGUGGUAGUAGUUGUAGUAGUAGUAGCAGUAGUAGUAGUGGUAGCAGUAGUAGUAGUAAUAGUUGUAGCAGUAGUAGUAGUAGUAGUAGUAGUAGUAGUAGUAACAGUAGUAGUAACAGUAGUAGUAGUUGUAGCAGUAGUAGUAGUAGUAGUAGUAGUAGUAGUAGUAGUAGUAGUAGUAGCAGUUGUAGUAGUAGUAGUAGCGGUAGUAGUAGUAGUAGUGGUAGUAGUAGUAGUAGUAGUAGUAGCAGUAGUAGUAGUAAUAGUUGUAGCAGUAGUAGUAGUAGUAGUAGUAACAGUAGUAGUAGUAGUAGUAGUAGUAGUGGUAGUUGUAGCAGUAGUAGUAGUAGUAGUAGUAGUAGUAGCAGUAGCAGCAGUGGUAGUAGUGGUAGUAGUAGUAGUAACAGUAGUAGUAACAGUAGUAGUAGUUGUAGCAGUAGUAGUAGUAGUAGUAGUGGUAGUUGUAGCAGUAGCAGUAGUAGUAGUAGCAGUAGUAGUAGUAGUAGUAGUAGUAGUAGCAGUAGCAGCAGUGGUAGUAGUGGUAGUAGUAGUAGUAGUAGUAGUAGUAGUAGUAGUAGUAGCAGUAGUAGUAGUAGUAGUAGUAGUAGUGGUAGUAGUAGUAGUAGUAGCAGUAGUAGCAGUAGUAGCAGUAGUAGUAGUAGUAGUAGGAUUACCGGGUCCAGUUUAUUAGGUACACCCAUCUAGUAUCAGGCCAGUUUAUUAGGUACACCCAUCUAGUAUCAGGCCAGUUUAUUAGGUACACCCAUCUAGUAUCAGGCCAGUUUAUUAGGUACACCCAUCUAGUAUCAGGCCAGUUUAUUAGGUACACCCAUCUAGUAUCAGGCCAGUUUAUUAGGUACACCCAUCUAGCAGGCCAGUUUAUUAGGUACACCCAUCUAGUAUCCGGCCAGUUUAUUAGGUACACCCAUCUAGUAUCAGGCCAGUUUAUUAGGUACACCCAUCUAGUAUCCGGACAGUUUAUUAGGUACACGUGAAGGAGGAGGACGGCGAUUUAGGAGAUACCGAAUCAUACCACGCUCAAAGUCGUUUAGGUCACUCGUUUUACCCCAUUCUAACGUUCAAUAGAACAGUAACUGAAUGCCUUGAUGCCUGUCUGCCUGCUUUAUAUAGCAAGGCAGGGCCACGUAACUCACUGUCUGUAUGACAGCCAUCCAUUUUGGUGAACGUGGUUGUGUACCUAAUAAAGUGGCCGUGGUGAGUGUAGUUUAGAAUAACACAGCCAUAUCGAGUAACAACAUGUUAUCUACAACUGGCUUGAUGUGAGAGCAGGAUGAAAUCAUUAUUCAAACCCGUCAUUGGCUCGUCAUUGGCUACCAAGCCCUCAUUAGUGAGAUAGACAACCAGACAUUGGUAUUGUCUCUAAAUGCAUGUGCAGUAUACAUCACUGAGAGACUCGAAAGGCAUGACUGGAUACCAUCACUGGUGGAUCGCCAUGUCUUUCCAGUCUUUACUUAGCUAUGGAUUCAACUAUUUCCUACAUAAUGAAGUCAGUCAACCAAAUAUUUAUUUACAGCAGGUAGAAUACAAUGUAGAGGCAAACGCUAGAUUUAUUUGAAUAUAGAUUUGUACAGUGUUGUUGUUGUUGUUGUUGUAUAUAAUGCACUAUAUGUCAAUGCUAUUCUAAUGCUGUCUCUCUUGGAGAAGGGACCCCUGAUCAAAUGAAAUGGAAUUCAGAAUCACUGUUUCAAAAGGCUUCUUCGUGAACAAUCUAGAACAUUCUAUGGAAUUAUAGAAUCACAGAACAACCGAAGGGACGGAAUCAGCUGACGUGGACUAACCUGAGCUGAACUGUCUCCAACUAGCAAACAUAGAUUUACUUUUAUAAAAAUGGGGUUAUAUAUAAGAGAACAGAGAGAGUUUUCAAUGAGUGAAUUUUUUGAUGUUGUUGUUGAUAAUAAUCAUUGGUUGCUAAUAAAAAAUGUACAUCCUGAUACUAUUGCAAAUUAUAUCCAGUAAACACUAUUGUUUUGGAUACACAUUGUUUUUGUUUAUAUGUAAACUAUUGUGAAGUGCUUGUCUGCCAUCCUCCAGCAUUGUUCCGUUUGAGUGAUGAAUGUAUCUGAAUGAAGCGCUUCCUUACAGGUCAUAAGGUACAGGUAUAUCAGCAGUUUGAUAGACUAGUGUCCUGUC
rnacentral:lncRNA from 1 species